rnacentral:other from 1 species
UAGACCCUGCCAUGUGCGUGAUGCGCCAAGCGUUUUGAGCCAACAGUUUUACCCAAUGGAAGCCAAAUCCGUGGUGGGGAUGCGAUAGCCUGCUUUCGGGCAAGGCAAAGCCACCAGUGAGGCUUCCCCCUGCGCAAGCAGACUCAAAGAUGCUGGUUCGACACACGGCAUGGCGGGGUGUCU